CCUACGGGAGGCAGCAGUGAGGAAUAUUGGUCAAUGGACGAGAGUCUGAACCAGCCAAGUAGCGUGAAGGAUGACUGCCCUAUGGGUUGUAAACUUCUUUUAUAUGGGAAUAAAACGUUCCACGUGUGGGAUUUUGUAUGUACCAUAUGAAUAAGGAUCGGCUAACUCCGUGCCAGCAGCCGCGGUAAUACGGAGGAUCCGAGCGUUAUCCGGAUUUAUUGGGUUUAAAGGGAGCGUAGGUGGAUUGUUUAGUCAGUUGUGAAAGUUUGCGGCUCAACCGUAAAAUUGCAGUUGAAACUGGCAGUCUUGAGUACAGUAGAGGUGGGCGGAAUUCGUGGUGUAGCGGUGAAAUGCUUAGAUAUCACGAAGAACUCCAAUUGCGAAGGCAGUUCACUGGACUGCAACUGACACUGAGGCUCGAAAGUGUGGGUAUCAAACAGGAUUAGAUACCCGAGUAGUC
rnacentral:rRNA from 1 species